UACGUAGGGUGCAAGCGUUGUCCGGAAUUAUUGGGCGUAAAGAGCUUGUAGGCGGUUUGUCGCGUCUGCUGUGAAAUUUCGGGGCUCAACCCCCGAACUUGCAGUGGGUACGGGCAGACUAGAGUGUGGUAGGGGAGAUUGGAAUUCCUGGUGUAGCGGUGGAAUGCGCAGAUAUCAGGAGGAACACCAAUGGCGAAGGCAGAUCUCUGGGCCGUAACUGACGCUGAGGAGCGAAAGCAUGGGGAGCGAACAGG
rnacentral:rRNA from 1 species